rnacentral:rRNA from 1 species
UACGUAGGUGACCAGCGUUGUCCGGAUUUACUGGGCGUAAAGAGCGCGCAGGCGGUCGUUCAAGUCGAGUGUGAAAGCCCCCCGGCUCAACUGGGGAGGGUCACUCGAUACUGAUCGACUGGAAGGCAGGAGAGGGAAGCGGAAUUCCCGGUGUAGUGGUGAAAUGCGUAGAUAUCGGGAGGAACACCAGUGGCGAAGGCGGCUUCCUGGCCUGUUCUUGACGCUGAGGCGGCGAAAAGCUGAGG